rnacentral:rRNA from 1 species
GACGAACGCUGGCGGCGUGCCUAAUACAUGCAAGUCGAACGAACCGCGACUGAGUGCUUGCACUUGGUCAAGGUGAGUGGCGAACGGGUGAGUAACACGUGGGUAACCUACCUCAUAGUGGGGGAUAACAGUCGGAAACGACUGCUAAUACCGCAUAGGACAUAGGAUCACAUGAUCCAGUGAGGAAAGGUGGCGCAAGCUAUCGCUAAGAGAUGGACCCGCGGUGCAUUAGCUAGUUGGUAGGGUAAAGGCCUACCAAGGCGAUGAUGCAUAGCCGACCUGAGAGGGUGAUCGGCCACAUUGGGACUGAGACACGGCCCAAACUCCUACGGGAGGCAGCAGUAGGGAAUCUUCCGCAAUGGACGCAAGUCUGACGGAGCAACGCCGCGUGAGUGAAGAAGGUCUUCGGAUCGUAAAGCUCUGUUGUUAGGGAAGAACAGCGCAUAGAGUAACUGCUAUGCGUGUGACGGUAUCUAACCAGAAAGCCACGGCUAACUACGUG